AACGCAACUUGCGCCUCGCAGAGGCAUGUCUGUUUGAGCGUCACAUACCAGUUAUUAUUGACUUUGCGCAUGUGCAUUGUUUAAACGUAGCUCGACACCAAGUCACUGAAUGGGGUGGAUGCGAAUGCCAAGCAUCAUCGAAUCCACUCACUUUAUAUAUACCGACCUCAAAUCAGGCAAGAUUACCCGCUGAACUUAA
rnacentral:misc_RNA from 1 species